AGCGAACGCUGGCGGCAGGCUUAACACAUGCAAGUCGAGCGGGCGUAGCAAUACGUCAGCGGCAGACGGGUGAGUAACGCGUGGGAACGUACCUUUUGGUUCGGAACAACACAGGGAAACUUGUGCUAAUACCGGAUAAGCCCUUACGGGGAAAGAUUUAUCGCCGAAAGAUCGGCCCGCGUCUGAUUAGCUUGUUGGUGAGGUAACGGCUCACCAAGGCGACGAUCAGUAGCUGGUCUGAGAGGAUGAUCAGCCACAUUGGGACUGAGACACGGCCCAAACUCCUACGGGAGGCAGCAGUGGGGAAUAUUGGACAAUGGGGGAAACCCUGAUCCAGCCAUGCCGCGUGAGUGAUGAAGGCCCUAGGGUUGUAAAGCUCUUUUGUGCGGGAAGAUAAUGACGGUACCGCAAGAAUAAGCCCCGGCUAACUUCGUGCCAGCAGCCGCGGUAAU
rnacentral:rRNA from 1 species